GUUGGUAAGGUAACGGCUUACCAAGGCUAUGAUGUUUAGGGGUCCUGAGAGGGUGGUCCCCCACACUGGUACUGAGACACGGACCAGACUCCUACGGGAGGCAGCAGUGAGGAAUAUUGGUCAAUGGGCGCAAGCCUGAACCAGCCAUCCCGCGUGCAGGAAGACGGCCCUAUGGGUUGUAAACUGCUUUUCCAGGGAGAGAAACUUACGCACGUGUUGCGUGACUGACGGUACCCUGGGAAUAAGCAUCGGCUAACUCCGUGCCAGCAGCCGCAGUAAUACGGAGGAUGCAAGCGUUAUCCGGAUUCAUUGGGUUUAAAGGGUGCGUAGGCGGGCUAUUAAGUCAGUGGUGAAAUCCUGCAGCUUAACUGCAGAACUGCCGUUGAUACUGAUAGUCUUGAGUUUGGUUAAGGUAGGCGGAAUGUGUAAUGUAGCGGUGAAAUGCUUAGAUAUUACACAGAACGCCAAUUGCGUAGGCAGCUUACUGAGCCGACACUGACGCUGAGGCACGAAAGCGUGGGGAUCAAACAGGAUUAGAUACCCUGGUAGUCCACGCCGUAAACGAUGAUUACUCGCUGUUGGCGAUACACUGUCAGCGGCUAAGCA
rnacentral:rRNA from 1 species